CGGAGCCCUUUAAAGGGGAACUGGACGGCUUUGAGAAGUGCAUUACUAAGGAUAGUUGCUUGCGCCAAACAGUAGCACCCAUGGCCUCUGAACAGGGGGGCAUUAUCUCAGUCCAGCUAACCAGAAAGUUAUUGAAACACACACCAGGACAGGAAGGUUGGCAAAAUAAAGAGUCAGCAGAGAUGAGACAACCCAGGGACACAAGGCGCCAGGGUUGUGGGGAGCCAAUGCUUACAAACCAUAAACCAAUCAGAGCACCAGGAGUACAAGACAUUCUGAUUGGUGGAGAGUACGAGACAUUUACAAAUUAGAGAGCAAAGAGCAGUCUGCAGAACGCCACAGAAGGACAAUGCAGGGAUACACUGGCAGAGAGCACAUCUUCAAUGAGCUGUAAGGACACCAACAGAUAUGUCCACAUCUGUAGAUGGAGCAUCAGCGAGAGGGGUUGUAAUGGAGGCAGGCAACCCCAAAAUGAAGCCUUGGCCAGCAGGGACUACAAUUCUCAUCAGGCAGCAAGAGUGUGCUGAGGCUGAUGAGAUGACAUCAUUUGUGCCAGCCAAAGCGGGAUCUCAUCUAAGAG